rnacentral:rRNA from 1 species
UACGUAGGGUGCAAGCGUUGUCCGGAAUUAUUGGGCGUAAAGAGCUCGUAGGCGGUUUGUUGCGUCGGCUGUGAAAACCUGAGGCUCAACCUCAGGCCUGCAGUCGAUACGAGCAAACUAGAGUGUUGCAGGGGAGACUGGAAUUCCUGGUGUAGCGGUGAAAUGCGCAGAUAUCAGGAGGAACACCGGUGGCGAAGGCGGGUCUCUGGGCAACAACUGACGCUGAGGCGCGAAAGCGUGGGGAGCGAACAGG